AUGAGCGAUCUCGGCCUUCUAAGCUACUACUUGGGGAUUGAGGUGGUUCAGUCAGAGCGCUCAAUCACAUUGAGUCAGCGUGGUUAUGUAGAGAAAAUACUUGAGGUGGGUGGUAUGGCAGGGUGUAAUGGCUCUCACACACCAAUGGAGUGCAGACUCAAGUUGAGGAAGGAAGAUGGUGCAAAACCCUUUGAUCCCUCUCUCUGCCGCAGCGUCAUUGGGAGUUUGAGAUAUCUGACACACACCAGGCCUGACAUCACUUACUCAGUAGGCAUGGUGAGUAGGUUCAUGGAGAAGCCGACUGUGACACACUGGUUGGCAGUGAAGCAGAUCCUACUAUACAUUCAGACCACUCUCAAUUAUGGCUGCUACUACACUCGA
rnacentral:rRNA from 1 species